rnacentral:tRNA from 1 species
GGGCGUGUGGUCUAGUGGUAUGAUUCUCGCUUUGGGCGAAUUCCGAGUUACACUUGGGGAUACAAAUCAUUCAAAUAUGCGAGAGGCCCUGGGUUCAAUUCCCAGCUCGCCCC